GGGGUUCCUCAGCUUCCCGGUCGCUGGGUGGGUGCUAAUCUUGCCUUCCAUCCUGGUGUUUGGGCCAGGCUUCGCACACUGGGUCCCCAAUCCAUUGCUGAACUGUGCAUUCUCAGCCCAUUUCACAGAUGAGGAAACUGACUCCCAAAUCCGGAUUCAUGCAGUCAUAUCCUGCAGAAACGACAGAUUAUGCAGAUGCCAGAAGGCCAGGAGCCUGGUUUCUUUUCCACAAGAGAAAGAUAAGCUGAAGAUGGCUGGAAAUGAGAAACCAAGUGUAAAGAUCUGCAUUGUCUUUUUGGUCCCCUUCCCCUCUGUUUAAAAGACCCUUCCCACCUGUGAACAGUAGGAUGGUGAUCUGAGGCAAAUAGGCCCCUCUAUCUCCUCAGAGUUAGCUUUGAGUAAAUCCUUAUUUCCUUCCAAAGGUAGAAUCUGCCCCCC
rnacentral:lncRNA from 1 species